GAUGAACGCUAGCGGCAGGCCUAAUACAUGCAAGUCGAACGAUAGAAGAGGGCUUGCUCUCUUCGAAAGUGGCGCACGGGUGCGUAACGCGUAUGCAACCUACCUUAAUCAGGGGGAUAGCCCGAAGAAAUUCGGAUUAACACCGCAUAAAAUCACAGUACAGCAUUGUACAAUGGUCAAAUAUUUAUAGGAUUAAGAUGGGCAUGCGUGACAUUAGCUAGUUGGCGGGGUAACGGCCCACCAAGGCGACGAUGUCUAGGGGAUCUGAGAGGAUGACCCCCCACACUGGUACUGAGACACGGACCAGACUCCUACGGGAGGCAGCAGUAAGGAAUAUUGGUCAAUGGAGGCAACUCUUAACCAGCCAUGCCGCGUGCAGGAAGACGGCCCUCUGGGUUGUAAACUGCUUUUAUUCGGGAAUAAACCUCAUUAUGUAUAGUGAGCUGAAUGUACCGAAGGAAUAAGGAUCGGCUAACUCCGUGCCAGCCGCCGCUGUAA
rnacentral:rRNA from 1 species